GUGGCUCCGGUGGGCAGCUGCUCUUCCCACGUUUUGUCCCCGUGGACAGGCAUUGGGCACUGGAGCUUUCACUGUGUAUUAAGAAGUUUCCGUGGGAAGAGUUGUGCACAGUAGUUCUUGUUUUGAUUACUUCUGACUUGCUGUAUAAGGUCUUGCUUGCAGUUCAAAGGGCAGGAAACUCAAUAAUUUAACAUCAAUCAUGUCGUGGAAGUGCGAUGUUCUUUUUAGUUUCAAGAAUGAAUGGGAUCAGUUUAUCUUGAGUGGCAGGAAGAAGUCUAGGCCACCCAAGUGCCUUUCUUGUAAGAUGUUGCCUACUUGCUGGCGGAGCGUUGAAGUGCAGUUUGAAUUAAUGCCGACACAAAUGCAUGAGUUUUGACUUCCACAACUUUGGCAUCUUCCUUUUGAAACAUCUACGCAGAAAUACAUCUAAGCUGCUGUCUUGCACUUAGUGUUUUCUGUGAUAUUUAAGCUUUGCAUUUAAGCAAUCUGUUUCCUUUCUGCCAACAAGUGAGAGGGAAGCACUUGAGGGUUAGAUAUGUUGCUUCUCAGAUUAAAUGUAAAACUACUUGGGCCUGUGGUGGCGCUCAGAUCAGCAGCGUUCCCUGGACCAGAGGUGUCAUCCCCUGUGUUCUGGACAGAUUCCAGCUCGAGCAAUUACACUUGGCUCAGCCACUUCCAGGGGCUCUAGUAUUUGAGUCUGCUUUGCUUUUCAAACUCUUGUGUUUAAACCCCACUGCAAUUAACCAUUUUUUCCCCUUUAGUUGGCUGCCUUUAUAUGUGGAUACGGAGUAAUCAUUAUGAAUAAAUCUGUUUAUAGCAGACUUGUUAAGUGGCUGGGGUUCCUCAGUGUAAGGCUGUUUGUAACAUAUUACGUGUAUUUGUUCAUAUUGUUUCCUUCUGUAGGAUUGCAUAAGAGCACAUAUUUACAAGGAGGGCCCAUAAUAUUUAAUGUUUUUGUUUUUUUUUUUUUUUUGAAUUGACUCUAGUGUUUUAUGAAGCAUUAGAAGUAACGGGACUAUUUUGACAUCAUGCCUUUACUGACAUAGGCAGAAAGAUUAGUGUGCCUUUUGGGAGCUUGUAUUAAUUUAUAAAAUACCUAAUUAUGCUCAACUAGUCAACUCAGGACUCUGGUGUCACCUUGCUCUUUAAAUGCCAUGUUGCAUUCUCCAUAGG